CUACGGGCGGCAGCAGUGGGGAAUAUUGCACAAUGGGCGCAAGCCUGAUGCAGCCAUGCCGCGUGUAUGAAGAAGGCCUUCGGGUUGUAAAGUACUUUCAGCGGGGAGGAAGGGAGUAAAGUUAAUACCUUUGCUCAUUGACGUUACCCGCAGAAGAAGCACCGGCUAACUCCGUGCCAGCAGCCGCGGUAAUACGGAGGGUGCAAGCGUUAAUCGGAAUUACUGGGCGUAAAGCGCACGCAGGCGGUUUGUUAAGUCAGAUGUGAAAUCCCCGGGCUCAACCUGGGAACUGCAUCUGAUACUGGCAAGCUUGAGUCUCGUAGAGGGGGGUAGAAUUCCAGGUGUAGCGGUGAAAUGCGUAGAGAUCUGGAGGAAUACCGGUGGCGAAGGCGGCCCCCUGGACAAAGACUGACGCUCAGGUGCGAAAGCGUGGGGAGCAAACAGGAUUAGAUACCCCCGUAGUC
rnacentral:rRNA from 1 species